rnacentral:rRNA from 1 species
CCCUUAGACGUUCUGGGCCGCACGCGCGCUACACUGACCAGUGCAACAAGCAUCCGUCCUUGGCCGACAGGCCCGGGCAAUCUUUGAACGCUGGUCGUGAUGGGGAUAGACUUUUGCAAUUUUUGGUCUUCAACGAGGAAUUCCUAGUAAACGCAAGUCAUCAGCUUGCAUUGAUUACGUCCCUGCCCUUUGUACACACCGCCCGUCGCACCUACCGAUUGAAUGGUCCGGUGAAAUCUUCGGAUCUGAGAGAUGUCUGAUUAAUUUCGGACGCCUUUUGGAAAAGUUGUUUAAACCUUACCAUUUAGAGGAAGGUGAAGUCGUANCA